GGCCUCAGGAGGAGUGAACACCUGCCUCACUAAGCACCUCCUGUACCACCUUCACUGGGACACGUCAUUCCUAGAACUGACCAAAACGAAUGUCCUUACAGAGAUGCAGUGUGACCAGCCACCUCACAUCCCUGCCCGCAUGCCUCCUCCCCUGAGACUGACUACCAGCCAAUGACAGAGCGGAGCAGAGGCGGAGAGGUUCGCUGUGCAAUUCCUUCAGACCCAGGCAGCACUUCGAAAGGAAGGGUGGUCAGCAUCAGAUGGUGAUGCCAAACACGGUGGAUGCAGAACUCACGCCUGAGAACAGUCACCGGCAACGUGGGAGGAAAGGAAGGAGCCACACGCUUGCCUCCUUCUGUCUUGCUCUGCCUGCCGUUCAAGCAGAUAUGAACUGUGACCCUCAGAAGAUGGCACACCAUCUCCUCCACUCCGUUGUCCCCAAGUUCUCAGCUCAGGAGCUGGCUGGGGCCUUUCCCCUGGGUUUCCAGAAGUUCCAGUGACUUAUGCAUUCACACGUCUAAAUCACUGUUCUGUGCAGUCCACCACAGCUUCUCAA